UCCCCGAUCCCUUUCCUCUUCCCUGAUCUCGGCGAACAGCAGGUUUGGACCCCCGAAUCCGUUGAUCUUGCUUGCAGUUGGGGGAGAAUCGAGCGUGCCGGGGUUGGAUCAGGCCAGCAUCGCUUGCGUGGAAGAGGUUUUGGCUGAGAAUCAAGGCUUCCGAUCCCUUCUCUGUUCGUUAGCAAGAAACAGGACCGAGCCCUAAUCGAAGGAUUGGAGAGGUGAUAUGGUGAUGUCGGCCACCACAGCUCGGUUGGACUGAUCUCUUCAUCAGAUCUGUGAUUACCUCUGACGAUUGAAGGGUGAAGAGGACCUUGAUCUGGACGAGUUGCGUGACGUGGUGGUUCUGUUGAUUGCGGGAUAUAUCGAGGCGGGUAUUUCUUCC